rnacentral:rRNA from 1 species
AUUGAACGCUGGCGGCAUGCCUUACACAUGCAAGUCGAACGGCAGCACGGGGCAACCUGGUGGCGAGUGGCGCACGGGUGAGUAAUGCAUCGGAUCGUACCUUUCAGUGGGGGCAAAUGUAGAGAAAGUCACGCUAAUACCGCAUAUACUGUGAGCAGGAAAGCAGGGGAUCGCCAGAACUUGCGCUCAUUGAGCGGGCGAUGUCGGAUUAGCUAGUUGGUGAGGUAAAGGCUUACCAAGGCGACGAUCUGUAGCGGGUCUGAGAGGAUGAUCCGCCACACUGGAACUGAGACACGGUCCAGACUCCUACGGGAGGCAGCAGUGGGGGAUUUUGGACAAUGGGGGCAACCCUGAUCCAGCCAUGCCGCGUGAGUGAAGAAGGCCUUCGGGUUGUAAAGCUCUUUCGGCCGAGAAGAAAUCGCACGGGCUAAUACCCUGUGUGGAUUACGGUACCGGAAUAAGAAGCACCGGCUAACUACGUGCCAGCAGCCGCGGUAACAC